UGGCUGCGGUAUGUUAUGUGUCGUGUCCGAUGUUCCGCUUGGUGCGUGUUGAUAAUAGCAACGGCGUGUCUCUUGCCCUGUGUGUGUGGUGCCCUGGUUGCGCUGUUUAAGUGGAUAUUACGACUGCUCACCCUCAGUUGCCGGCGGCUGAUAAGGCUGUGCUGAACCCAUGCCUGUAGCAGGUUAUGUUUAUCAUACCAUUGGUUGGUAAGUGUUUGUUAUUAAAACAUUUAAACAUUAUUGUAUGUCGUCCAUCGCGGUUUGAUAACAUUAUGCUCGUUUUUAGGAUUCUCCCUUUUUGUUCUCUGUGUCACUUUGUUGUGAUUCCGAGUUUGUGAUCUGGCGUUCGUAUUGCCGUAAAAGCAUCACGGUCUUCUCCACGCAACACAACGAGUACCGUAAACUGUCUGGUUCAGCUGUGUCUUGCCCCCUUUCUUACUAAAUUAGAGCUAUGGCGUCUUCUUGACGCGUAGGGGGACGACUAGUAGCCUCUCUAUUGGGUUUUUGUUUUGUUUUGCUGUAACGCAUUGCGUUUCCUUUUUGUUUACCCUCUCUAGUUUUGUUUAUUUUGAUUUUGUUAUAUUGUUUUUGAUAGGAUUCAAUGGACUAGUUAUUUACUCCUUUUUAUUCUUUAAAGUGUUUUGGUAUUAUACCGUUGUUGUUUACUCUCUGCUCCAGUGAACUGGGUCAUAUGUGACCGGUUAAUGGUUUACUUAUUGUACAACCAUUGCAAUUCUGUUAUGACUUGUGUUUGGUCUUGUGAAUUUGUUUUGAUUACGUAAGAUGUCGUUAGUUUAAUUUCAUUUAAUUUGAUAUUUCCUUUUUUUUUCUUUCAGCUAAGGCUGACUGGCAAUAUUUUGUAGUAUUAUUUAAUCCAGUAUUAAUCCAGUUUUCCAUCUGUUGCAGGAGCUGGGGUCCCAACGGGUGGAUGGAACUUUCCGGUGGUGGUUUUCCUUUUUCAUUGUGUGCUGUUUAACACGAAGUGUGUGAUUUAUUUCAUUUGAGUGCACAGUGGUGUGUGUGUGCGUGCGUGUGUGUCUAUGUGGACCCAAGUCGAGAUUAAGAACCCCUCUAUCCUGUUGGGAACCUCAGCCCUGCUUAA